rnacentral:rRNA from 1 species
UACGGGGGGGGCAAGCGGUUGUUCGGAAUUACUGGGCGUAAAGGGCGCGUAGGCGGUGCUCUAAGUUAGAUGUGAAAACUCUGGGCUCAACCCAGAGCCUGCAUCUAAAACUGGAGUGCUAGAGUUCUGGAGGGGGUAGCGGAAUUCCUGGUGUAGCGGUGAAAUGCGUAGAUAUCAGGAGGAACACCUGUGGUGUAGACGGCUCUCUGGACCGCAACUGACGCUGAGACACGAAAGCGUGGGGAGCAAACAGG